rnacentral:lncRNA from 1 species
GGCCAAAAUGUUCUGUUAAAGACAGCUUCUUCUUGCUCCUCAGAAACACUGGCUGCUCAUCUGGCCCCAAAAUCUGCACAUGGUUCAUUCCUUCAUUUCAUCCUUCAGCAGCCACCCCUGUGAUCAGUCAGCAGCCAUAAACAUUGAGUCAAGACCCUCCACCAGCGAAAAAGAUUACACCUUGCUGAAGGCUCAGGUGAUUGUUAACAUUUUUUAGCAAUGAAGUAUUUUUAAUUAAGAUAUGUACUUUUUAAAAGACAUAAUGGUAUUUUGCACUUAAUAGACUACGGUACAGUGUACACAUACCUUUUACAUGCACUGGGAAACAAAAAAAAUUUGUGCAACUCUCUUUGUUCUGAUCAUUGUUGUGAUCUUGAAUUAAACCUGUAAUGUCUCUGAGGUUGCCUGCAUAAUUGGCUUUCAAAAAGAAAAUUCUGUAAUCAAUGAAUGAAUGAAUAAAUCAUCCCCCACCCCACCUCACUUAUGAAGGGGAUUUUGUAGCAGCUUUACCACCUCUCUAAGUCUGGUGUUGGAGAUGCACUUACCUUUCAUCUCCCUCUCUCAUCACCAUGAUGUGUCAUCACUACUGAACAACAUAUCCCUGUCCUUAACCUCACUGUCUUUUGUUUUUGUCUAGUUCAUUUCUUUCAUCUUCUCCUCUGGGGAAUCCCUCUAGAGCCCCAGCCUUUUUCUGAGUGUUUCCUUUGUGUUCUUUUUCAUGACACAAACCUAUUCUUUCUGAUCUGGACCUAGCCUCUGAACCUCAGAGACCAUUACUAGUGUCCAAGGGCAGUGAUGGGAGAAGACCUCAAUGGCAUCCUUGCAGCUGCAGAAACUUCUGUGGAGUUUUAUGCAUCCCAGGCACUUAACAUGGCACUGUGACAAUAUUUUCUUCUCUUGCAGUUCUGCAUUGAAACCUCUUACUAAUGGGAAUGCUUUUUUUUUUUUUUGAGCAAAUAAAGACUACCAAAGACUGCAAGACUCCUCUGCAGAAAGGAGUGUACAAUGGAAGAAACAAUCCUGAGCUGGAAGUCAGAGCCAGGGGUUCUGGUCCCAACACUCCUCUAACC